rnacentral:misc_RNA from 2 species
AACGCACCUUGCGCUCCUUGGUAUUCCGAGGAGCAUGCCUGUUUGAGUGUCAUUAAAUUCUCAACCUUCCAUGUUUUAUUAGCAUGGUUAGGCUUGGAUGUGGGGGUUGCGGGCUUCAUCAAUGAUGUCGGCUCUCCUUAAAUGCAUUAGCGGAACUUUUGUGGACCGUCUAUUGGUGUGAUAAUUAUCUACGCCGUGGAUGUGAUGCAGCUUUAUGAAGUUCAGCUUCUAACCGUCCAUUGACUUGGACAAUUUUGACAAUUUGACCUCAAAUCAGGUAGGACUACCCGCUGAACUUAA